CUUUCCACAAAUAACUUAUAGCAGUGCAGGUUAAAGGUUAGUUCCUCCCUCAUUCUCCCAGGGCUCCUCCAUAACAGACUUGAGAAGUGAGCAAACUUACAAGAACCUCCUGUCACAAGGAUACAAACAUCCAUGCCACCACCACCACCCUUCAGGCAACCGCAAGAACAGUGUGCUCCCAUUCAUGAGCAUGGUUGGAUGGCUUCAGUUGAGGACCCGGGAGUGAUGCCACCACCAUUGCCAUAUGACCCCUAGCAAGAUUCCUGGCCAGAGGAAUAUCCUCCCUUUGGCUUUGAGGGGGAGCCAAGACAGCCACAAAGUCCAUGUAUUUACCCCCCCCCCCCACAACACAAUCUCAUAGCAGUCAGGGAUUUUACCCACAGACAAUGUCACAGGAAGUUAUAAUUUGACAGGCUUAGUGGCUCAUAACAAGCACUGAGAACAUACAAAGAGGCCAAGAGAGGUUCUUCAGGAACCAUGAAAGGUUCAUCAGGAGCCAAGAGAGGAGACAACAACAUAGCAUAGAGCUACAGAGGGACAUGGCAGCAUCGUUAAGUGCAAGUGCUCAAAACCAAUCACAGAUUAUUCGAAUUCUGUCUGAUAUGCAGAUGCAAAUGGAUAAUAGAUGGAGAGAACAAAAUCAACUCUUGAGUGUGUUGGUUGAGCACUUUACACACCAGCAGGACACUGCCUCCAGCCUAUUAUCUGUGGCCAGCACACCAUCAGAAACAGCAGAAUCUUCUCAAACCAGGAGAACAAGGAAAUCCACUACAGUCACCUCAGCUCCCUCAUCCAAGAAGCCAAAAAAGAAAUAAAUAUUCUUAUAGUUCACCAUAAA